GGGGCGGGGCCAGGAUGCGGCCUGGGGGGCUGGGGACCAGCACCUGAGCGGGAAGGCAGGACCCCUAGUGCCGAACCGGGCGUUGUCUAGUAGGCAAGCCUAGGACCGGAAGGCAGGAAGAGGCCCGUUCCAAGGACGCUCGGCCUUAAGGGCAUGGAAGUCUGUGGUCCUGACAACGGCCCACAGAGGCUAUAAAACUCAAUACUCACCUUCCCAACCUUCAUGGCAGCUACGUGGAGUCACGUGACACAGUUCUGGUCAAUAAGAUGUAAGCAGAAGCCUAUGUGUGUGCAUGUGAGCAUGUGGUGGAUGCGAAAGGAGAACUUGCUAGCCUUGACCCUUCUCCAGUCUUCCUGCCUGAACUGUAGACUCAUGAUACAGUAGUCCUCCUGCAACCACGAAGCAACAUGAUUGAGGAUAAAAAAGCCAACAGCUAAAAAUGGAAGAAUAAAAAGAAAGCCUGAGGAGUCAAUGUUAGCAUCAAGCGGCUGGACCAAUGUCUGCAACCACCAACCUCUGGACUCUUGUUUUAGGGAAAAAAUAACAAAACCCUAUUGAUUUAAGCUUGAUUCUUAGUCUGGCUGGAAGGACCUUGAAGGGGACAAGAAAUUCUUUCUUCCCAACAGUCCCAGGGCACCCAGGCGUUGGCAUGUGAUGCGGGCAGAACUAGGCCUUCCUGUGGCCAUUUUGGGGGUACUUGGCACUGAGCAGGCAGAGAAAGGAGGUAAGGACUGGCCCAAAACGGAAUUCCCAGAAGGAGGCCUGGGAGAGUAAGAGACCUGACGACCUAGCCACGCCUCUGGGAAGCAAAAAGGCAAAUUAGGAAAAUCCGCUUCAGGAAGAGGACAGUUCGUGUCCAGCACAGUUUUUGCACACGUUCUAGGCACAGCACCUCAGGAAAACUGGAAAUCAGAGGAGACAUUCAGGAGGUGAAUGGGCCCCAUGUCUGACUGAGCGAGGACGAAGACAAAACCCUUGUUGGCAGGGCUCAACCUCACGGGGAAACCGAUUUCGAAUUUCUCUCUUAUUAGUGCCUCAAAAUUUUCGGCAACUCCCUAGUUUCAUUACAAAAUGGCGACCGUAAUGAUGACUGUAUUAAAUUUAUUUUUAUAUUUCUUUUAGGGAAAGGGAUGAAAAUUCAGAAAUAAUAAUCUGUUGAUGGUAAAAAUUGUUCUCAUCUUCUCUGUGGAAGAAUUGCGGGGGUUUUAAAUCAGAGCCCAGAAGUUUAAACAGCUACUAGCAAUGAAUUUCCUUUUUAGAAAGUGUUACAUUGUAAUCAUUACGUCAUUAUCACUUCAAAAGGUUUGUUCUUUCAACUUUGUGGUUUAAAAUGUGUGUGUUAAUUUGUCAGCAGUGAAAAGGAGCUGGGGAGUUCGCUGAACUGUAAUUGUGGUUUUUAGCGAGAAUACUCGGGAGAAUCCUCGCAUUGCUUGAGUCCGAAUGAAUGUCAGCAGACUCUUCUCGUUUCAAUGUCCGAGCCUGAAACACAAAAGAGACUGGGCAUAUGAUCCAUUUUUAAGUGAUGAAGAUUUGGAUUUAAAAAAUCUGUAAACCCAGUCCCUUUUUCAGGUUAGGGAACAAGAAGGAGAAAAAGGUCAGAAGACGUUUUAAGAGUCUAGACUUGCCAAUAGCUACCUGUGGCUACCGAACACUUUUAAUGUGCUCGGAUUCGGGCACGAAUUCUGGAUACGGACGACUCAGUACAAAAGGAAAAAGUAAAACAUAUCAUUAAUAUUUUAAACGUACGGAUUACACGCUGAAUGAUCAUGCCUGGAAUAUAGCGAGUUAAUAAAGGGUUCUCAAAAUUAA